UACGUAGGGGGCAAGCGUUGUCCGGAUUUAUUGGGCGUAAAGAGCGUGUAGGCGGCUAGAUAGGUCCGUUGUGAAAACUCGAGGCUCAACCUCGAGACGCCGGUGGAAACCAUCUAGCUAGAGUCCGGAAGAGGAGAGUGGAAUUCCUGGUGUAGCGGUGAAAUGCGCAGAUAUCAGGAGGAACACCAAUGGCGAAGGCAGCACUCUGGGACGUGACUGACGCUGAGACGCGAAAGCGUGGGGAGCAAACAGG
rnacentral:rRNA from 1 species